AAAAGACAGUUUGUAUUACUGAAAAAUGGAAGUGGGUGGAUAUUUCAGAAAUGCUUGAUCAACAUUUGCAAAAAAACAGGACCAAUAUCUAAGAAAGUAGUUUACUCUCAGGAAUAAUAGGAGAAAAGUAAUUUUAAGUAAACCACUGAAAUUCUCAACUUGAAUUUUCAUCAUACAAAUCCAGUUCUUGGAUCAUUACUUAUCCAGUUAUAGACUGGGAGACUGAGCUCAGUAAAAAACAAGCAAUGGAGGUUGAAUUUCUGUAAAUGAGUUUUCAAAACCAUAUUUAUUUCAGGACAGAGUGACUGACUCAGUCCUAUUACUGGCAUUGCUUACAGUGUUUAAAUGGUGUUUCAAGAUGCACCUCUCUACAGAAGAAAAUGAUAGUAAAAAUUCCCAAGCAUGCUCCAUUUCCCAGUGAUUUUCACUGGAACCACUUGGAGUGUGUGCAACGACUUUAAUAUGACUGAAGAAAUAUUGAUGUACAUUGAAGAGAUCAAGGAGGGACAUGUUUUUCUGACUCUCUACUUACAACAACAAAAAAAAAAAAAAAAAAAAAAAAAGCAACAUCACCUCUCUGUACAUUAGACUUUCUGUCUACUGAAAUGGCACAAAAAGAACAUCUCUGAGGGCUUUCCAGUGCCAGUAGGGAUGAUUUAUAGCUUCAGCACUAUUUGUUUUAAUCUCAGAGGGAGAGGAGGAGGAAGGGAAUGGAUUCGAUGAUACAUAGAGAAACAUUAUUUCCCAAAGGCAGAUUUUAUUUCUUUAACAAUUUAUAAAGCUCCAGAAGUGAAAUAUCACUAUUUUGGGACUGGUGUUAUAUAUCAAUGAGUUUAGCAGCUGCCAGACUUAUGCAUGUAUUUUGUACUGUACGUACAGUGCAAAGGCCAUUGAUUCAACAGUGGUUAACAGGGUCUUUAUUGUCAUUGUUGCAGUAGAUCACCAAAUUUUGAUCUUAAGAGACAGACUGUGCACUAAGAAAUGUCAAAGGCAAACUUGUAUAAUAAGAAAACCUCGUUCUACCUCCACUAAUCACCCUACAAACUACCUCAGCUUCUGCAUCUCACUCAUUCUGCUUUUUGCUAGUAGCAGAUCUGACCACAGUUCUGUUCAUUCUGCUACCAUCAGCUGUGUAGGCACAGAAAUGCAACCAAAUAAUAAAUAUAUUGAUAAAAACCUUCUUGAAGUCUUGUGGAGGGAGGUGGAUGUGUACUUUGGGGGAGGUAGAAAAACCAAAUCUUGUGACUCUUACUGUGGUUGUAGUAGUUUGGUAGCCCCUAUAGAAUAAUACAGGGAGUACCUGGAUUUACAGGAAAGAUACCAAAAGUCUGCUCUAAGGUGGAAAAUUUAGGGAUCAGCAGAGACAACUGUUUUAGUAGAAGAUGGGUUCUUGAAGCUAUAAUUCAAUUACUGAGAGGUCUCAAAAUGGUACAAAUGAUUUUAUGCAAUUUACAGGUUGCUCCAUGACCACUUUCUGCCUGAAUGCUGCUAAUUAUGAAACCAAAAAGCUUUUUCCUCUUGAGGCUUGAAGGAACCUGAGAUUUCAACAUGCCUGUCUCUGCCCAAGCUGACUGUUUCUGGCAGCCCGCUCAGGGAUCUUGAUGAGCAAUGGAAAAGGAGCCCAGAAAACAAUUUGUUUAUUAUAAGCAGGUCAGUCCUCGGGGGGAUUCAUGGAAUCACGCAGUGGGAGAGGACAAUCAUGGCACUGAAAUGAAUUGCAGAAUUCUUGGUGUUGGAAGGCAUAUCUGGAGAUGCUUUCAUUGAAGCCCUCUAUUCAAGCAUGGUCAGCUAGAGAAGGUUUCCCAGGACUCUAUCCAGGCAAGUUUUCAGUGUCUCCAAGGAUGAAAACUCCACAGCCUCUCUGAGGAAUCUGUUCCAGUGCGUGCUGCAUUCAAAUUGUUUCUUUGCAGCUGCCUGCAAUAAAAGAGAUGUGGGGAAAACAAAAGAAGGAGGGCCAUGAUCGAGCACUUAUGUUUUUGUACCCAAAAUGGUGAGUGCAUCAGAAAAAAAAAUCGCUUGUUUGGAUGACAUUCUUGAAGUAUUGAAGUAUAGAAAGGUAAGUGAAGAGGAACAAGGUGAGCAAACUGCCGAACAUGUAAAAACAGCACCAUUAUGAACUUGUUAAUUGUAUUUUAUUUUUUAAUCUCUAGUUUGGUUUGGCUGAGGCAUCCUUAUCCUGCAGUCUGCAAGGAAGCAGGGCAAUUUUUGCUGUCCCUGGAAAACACAGUCCUGCACUCCACAACCUUCAAGGUUCCCAUGGGCUUCGUAUGUAUUUAGAAGGAACGACAUUUUUUGGGAAGAAGCAAUGGAGAACGCAAUUAUUUUUUGUUUCUUUUCUACUGCUUUGGCUCUUCACAAAAUUUAUGCAUCCUGUCAGCCUCCUGUGAGAAACUGAGUGGUAUUUCCACCUCAGCACUGGUGCAGCCCAUCUGCAGCACUGGGUCCAGUUCUGGGCUCACCAGUAUGAGGCUGACAUGAGAAUACCAGAGUCCAGUGAAGGACAACAGAAGUAAUUAAGAGAUUGAAGCAUCUCUUGUAUUUGUGUCACUGAGACCCCAAGAUGAGCUUGAAAAGAAGAAGCGCAAGGAAGAUCUUAUUAAAGUGUGUAAGCUCCUGAUGUGAGGGAGUGGAGAAUACAGUCAGACUUUUAGUCCUGCCCAGUGACAGGACAAGAGGCAGUGCACACCAUCUGAAGUACAGAAAAUUCCAUAUAAAUGCAAGAAAAUCCUCUCUGGUACUAUAAGUGUGACUGAACACUGGCACAGGUUGCCUGAAGAGGUCAUGGAAUCUCCAUUUUUUGAGAUAUCAAAGCCCCACCUGAACACAUUUCUGUGUAAACUGCUUUCCUGACCCUGUUUUGAGCAGGAGGGUUGGACUAGUCAAUAUGCAGAGGUGAUUUCCCACCUCAAUCAUUCCAUGAUCCUUGACCCACUAGAACAAUUUCUUCUUAUUUCUUGCAGCUAUCCUUUGAUACUACAAUAUAUGCAGGUUGGAGUGCAUGUCUCACCUUCUAAUUCUCAUCUUUCUGUGAAUCAGAGUUAUAAUUCAUAUAAUCUAACUUUCAGAACACCUACUUAAAAGAGACAAAACCAAACACUUGGGACAGCUAGUAAAACCAUUAUUUCCAAAGCAAUAACACUCAUAACUGAAAAUGUCUUAUUCAAGAAUAAAACUAUGUUUUCAAAUUAAACAUUGGUUUAUUUUGUGGCAGGGGAAAUCAGCUGUAGCACAAGACAUCAGAAUUAAAUUACCAGGUUUCCUAUUGUUUUAAUUUUCAUUGAAAUUAUGGGAUCUUUACAGCGUUUCAUUUUUAUAUGAUUUUAUGGGGCUUAGAGUAAUAGGCCCUGAGUUUGCUUAAUGACAACAGGAACUAUAAUAAUCUAAAUAAUAGAGAAAAAUACAAAAGAAAGAUUUCAUGGUGCCUUAAUCCAAGAGGCACUUUGUUUAACCCUUUGGUGAGCGUAUAAUAUGCUUUUCCUAGCUCUGCAAUACAUGGUAGGAUAAUUGCAGUGCUUUGAGCCUAAAAGUGUACUUUGUUCUGUCUUCAUUUCACGCACAUCUCCCUCCAUUCUGCAGCCUCUGGAGUGAAGAGCAUGCCCAAACAGAAGCAAGGGAAGAAAGACAUGGAAACCAAAGUGAAUCAAUUAUCGCCUUCAGCCUUGAGAAAUUCAUAUAUUUAACUUGUAACUUCACAAGUGCUGAGGUGGUUCUGCUUUUCUCUGAACACUGAAAGAACAUUGAAAGUAGGUUAACAGAACAUCCUAAAAGAAGACCUGGGCCACAUUCUGUGAAAAAAAAAAAAAAAAAAAAAAAAAAAAAAAAAAAAAAAAGGAAAAAAAAAGUGGCAGAGUACAGGGACCAUGCCUCCCAAUGAAAGAUUUUAAAAGUUUAAAAGAUCAUUUGGAUAUAGAAUAAGAGAUAUGUUGUGAAAAAUGUUGCAAUGGCCAAAGACAUUCCGUGGGCACAAUGACCUUGGAGGGAGCUUCUCCAUCGUGUGUUGAGAAAGUCAUGGGAGUCAUCAACCAGCAGCUCAGAACAGAAUUCAAUUUACAUUGAUAAAUAGCUUGUGCAGGUGCAGAAGGGCAUUUCUAAGGUAAUGAGGUAAAACUAUUAAUGGGAUAUGUUUUGGAGAAAAUCUUGACAGGGAAUAGAAAGCAGUCACACAGGAAAAGCAGAGAAAUUUAGCUGCUUGGGAAGUUUAUGCUGCAACUGGACAGAGAGCUGGGAUCUGUGAUAGAGUGUUCUGUUUCAAUUACAAAGACGAGCCAAAAGAGCUUCUAGCCUUUCCCAUCUUUGUGUUUUAUGAGUACAGGUGUUACAGGCAUGCAAAGUAGCAUAUCUUAAUUGUCAUCUCCAAAUCAGACCAGUUCCACUUGUGUUUGGUUUAGCAUACUGUAUUUUGAUGAAGUUUUCAUCUGAUUUCCCUUGAGGACAGCAGUAGCAUUUCCACUCAAGAAGUCAAGCUCUUACAGUAUUUAAUUUACUGCGGGUGUAGAGAGUUUAAAGUGGGAAUUCAAACAAUGGAAAUAUCUUUGUGGCACAGCACAGGAGAGCAAACCUAGAACAGUACAAAUAGCUGUUGACUGCCAGAGCUUUACUCAUACUCCAGUAAACUUUGCUCUGGGAAGAAGGAGCUGCACAAAGAGCUGCUGGAGCCUACAAACUUCAAAGCGAAUGACAUGGAAGUGCAAAUCAAUAGAGAAACCACAUGAAACUUUUGAAGGGUAUUUGAUGCCUUCAUGUGUUCAUUUUGAAAUGUUACCUCACAAAUUCCCACUAACCCUUGAGAGUUUCUUGAACUCUCCAGCUAUUUCCUGAAAAAAAAACAAACUAGCAGCUCCUAGGGAAUCAUUGUUAUAACGUUUGGAGACUACGAAAGCUUCAUUUGAGCUUUGUUUUUCAGUAUCAUCCUUUCUGUGGAGAAAAGGUGUAAAAUUUCUGCCUAUUGCCUGCAUUAUUCCAGUACAGUCCUGCUGACACCCUCCUCCAGAACUGGGCUGGAGGAGACACAAGGCAUGUAUGAUCUAUUGCAUUAUUUUGCUGAAACAUACUCGUUUUCAAGAAAUGAUCACCUUGUGUUUACACAUCAGCAACAUCCUUGGUAAAUCUCUUGGAAUUUUAUUUUUGCUAUUAUUUGUUCUGGUUGGUACCCUAGUGUAGACAUAAGGGUCUUCAGACUGGAUGCCAGCUGGUGCCUGUCUGUUC